rnacentral:rRNA from 1 species
UACGAGGGGGGCGAGCGUUGUUCGGAAUUAUUGGGCGUAAAGGGUGCGUAGGCGGCCUGACAAGUCUGAUGUGAAAUCCCUGGGCUCAACCCAGGGCCUGCAUCGGAAACUGUCGGGCUUGAGUAUGGGAGAGGUGAGUGGAAUUUCCGGUGUAGCGGUGAAAUGCGUAGAUAUCGGAAGGAACACCUGUGGCGAAAGCGGCUCACUGGACCAUUACUGACGCUGAGGCACGAAAGCUAGGGGGAGCAAACAGG